UAAGUUGAUUAUAGAAUUGGAGAUAACUGAAUUGUCAUGGGUAAAUUUUGUGGCGGAUUAUCAUUCUGUACUAAAGUCCGAUUGAUAAUUUUGGCGAAAUUUACUUCAUUUUAUGCAGACUAUGGAUAGCCCAGCUGCUAAUUCUGAAAUAUUGCUGAAUGGACCGCCCUUCAGUACACCAGCUUUGGAUCGCCCAGCUGUGAUACAAUGAUUAGUUCAAUCGUCAUCAACAUUUUAUUGAUUGACAAAUAUUUUGGUUGUGUACUGUUGUUGUAACAGUUGUUGUUGUUUUAUGAAUGAAUUUUGAUUAAAUGUUGCCAUGACAAUUCAAUAUCCAAACAAAAUCAGUGUUUGUUAUUUGUUGUAGUGAAAUUCAAAUCAAGGCAUCAAUGGCG
rnacentral:lncRNA from 1 species